AGCGAACGCUGGCGGCAGGCCUAACACAUGCAAGUCGAACGAACCUUUCGGGGUUAGUGGCGGACGGGGGAGUAACACGUGGGAACGUGCCUUUAGGUUCGGAAUAACUCAGGGAAACUUGUGCUAAUACCGAAUGUGCCCUUCGGGGGAAAGAUUAAUCGCCUUUAGAGCGGCCCGCGUCUGAUUAGCUAGUUGGUUGAGGUAAUGGCUCACCAAGGCGACGAUCAGUAGCUGGUCUGAGAGGAUGAUCAGCCACAUUGGGACUGAGACACGGCCCAAACUCCUACGGGAGGCAGCAGUGGGGUAUCUUGCGCAAUGGGCGAAAGCCUGACGCAGCCAUGCCGCGUGAAUGAUGAAGGUCUUAGGAUUGUAAAAUUCUUUCACCGGGGACGAUAAUGACGGUACCCGGAGAAGAAGCCCCGGCUAACUUCGUG
rnacentral:rRNA from 1 species